rnacentral:lncRNA from 1 species
CUUAUCAGUAAACAACAUCUAAUGAGCCUUAAUGGGCUUUUUAUGGAGGGAUUGGGAAGCUUGAUAAGAGAAAUGGGAGCUGUUGGUGACAGAGGCAGUGUUGUGGUUAAUACUGUGGUUGUAAUAAUUUUUAAAUUAAUAUUAUUUUUAUUAUUGUUGGUAUGAACAUUCGGAUUCAUCAGCCCCGCUCCAUUUGGGAGAAGUUGGCAGUGCUGGAAAACCAGGAAUUCCAGGAUUUAAUGGACAGCGUGGACCAAAGGGCGAGCCAGGAGCCUCAGGGAGCGACGGCGCCUCGGGAAUUCCUGGGGAGAAAGGAGAAAAGGGAGCCAAGGGAGUUCCAGGAUUGGGAGGAUUCAAGGGACAAGCGGGAUGGCCUGGGAAGCCUGGAGGGGCCGGAGCAGCGGGACCUCGAGGGCCACAGGGAGAGCCAGGCCCACAGGUGAGCACGGNUUUUCCUAAAACCAUCUGGGUUUUAGGAAAAGAAAAAAAAGAAAAAAAAGAAAAGAAAAAAAAAAAGAAAAAAAAAAGAAAAAAAAAGAAAAAAAGAAAAAAAAAAAUCCCAGAUUCCUUCUCAGGAGGAGAAGGAUCUCAUGGAAAGCAGGAAGAUGAGUUGGACAGGAAAACAUGGAAAACCUGGCACUGGAGAUAAUUGGGAUAAUUAAGAGAAGUAUUAAAGCUUAAAUUAAAUUUAAUUUAAAUUAAAUUAGGAGAACUCUAAUUAAUGUCAGGGUUUUUAGUGCAAAAAAUAAUAUUUUUGAGCCAUUCCUGGUCUGAUCCCAGCUCCC